rfam:Schistosoma rodhaini strain Burundi genome assembly, scaffold: SROB_scaffold0000984
GUACUGCUGAGGAGUCCCAUAAUAGGACGAAACGGCUGUCCAGGGC